rnacentral:misc_RNA from 1 species
UCAACCCACUCCUAAGAAUGGGUGAUGUAACGUUGUGCUUGCCACUUUCUCUUUUGAGAGUGCGUCUUGUGCUAAAUGGAUUAUCAAAAGGUCAGUUCCUCACAGAUCAGACUUUGGUAGUAUACCGAAAGUCGAGUUUGUUUGGAGUUUAUGCUUUCCUUAAACAAUUCAAA